CUGAUGGACUUUGUGAAAAGAUGAAUCAACUCUUCAGAAAACAACUUCUCCUGCCAUUCCUGGCGCCUUUCCUGUGGACUUCAGGUUUUGCUGGUGGUAGUGAUGUCACCCAGCCCGCCGUUUUAUGGCAGAACAAGAGCGGAGACGCGACAAUCGACUGCAGCCACAAAAAGGGCCCCUCGUACUUCCAGAUGUACUGGUUCAGGCAGCUGCCGGGGAAAGCGAUGGAGCUGGUGGUCUUCACCACGACGGGGAGCAGCAAGCACGACUUCGGGAGCUUCAGCCAGGAGAAAUUUUCAGCCACCAAAGCGGAGGCUGAGAGCGGAGCGCUGACGGUGCGGAGCCUGGAGCCGGCAGAUGAAGGCCUGUAUUUCUGCGCCGUGAGCUCAGCACAGCGGUGCAGACGGGCCGGAAGGCUGAACAAAAACCCACAGAGCCAACGACGGCUUACUGUGUUGCGGCCAGUAGGUGGCAGCACAUGUUCAGUCGACACUGAACCAGUUCUAAGAGGUUCUGGUGACGUCAGAGAAGGAGGAGGAUAA